GCACCCUUAGCUCAGUUGGCUAGAGCGCACCCUUCACACGGGUGAGGUCAGAGGUUCGAGCCCUCUAGGGUGCA
rnacentral:tRNA from 1 species